rnacentral:misc_RNA from 1 species
UCAUGAUGAACGGUGAGGACUGAGCAGCAGACGACGCUCAUGAUCCAGUGGCUGCCAAGUGAGUGUCAUCUUCAGGUCCUUCCAGGGGUCAGGAUAACACAAGAUUAUACCUCUUUAUCCAGGGCUUAUGCAUUACAUGUUACCUAGCUGAGCCUCAGAUUUGAGAGAAUUAGCCCUUGGACCACUUCACAAUUUACCGACAGUUCAAACGCUGGGUUGCCAUGGCAGACCACACAGAAGAUAAUGAUCCUUUUGAAGAGGAUAUUGUUUUUGAUGAGACUGGCUUACUGGGUGGGAAAAUGCCACGCUCUCGUCAGCAAUCCACUGUGGGAUUCUUGCCAACAUUUAUGCUCUUUAUAAGGACUGUGUUUCUCUGCACAGCCUUCGUUGGAUUGGGGCUGUGUAUGUCUGUGAGUGGGGAACCCUUGAUAAAAAUGGAGUUGGUUGUUGGGACGUCAGUAGACACAGCCUUCCACACCUUCACUGCCCGCUCCUUUGGGAUGCUGCUUGGAGGAAUCUUAGGUUCACUGUUAUUUGAGGUGUACAACCGUCAGUUCCUGAUAUUUGUGAGUCUUAUAUGGGUGGCUGUGUCAGUGACAGUAUUACCCUUCACUGUCCCAACUGCCCUCUGGUGGACAUUCACCACAACUGCCUCUUUGGGCAUGGGUCUUGGAUUCCUCUUUACAGGUGGGAAUGUCCUAUGUCUGGACCUGUGGGGGCGACAGGGCGGAGCUUCUCUUCAGGCACUGCAUUUCAGUUUUGCUGUUGGAGCUUUUAUAGUUCCUCUUGUCAUCCAGCCAUUUUUUGCAAGCCUGCACACCAGACUCCACAGUAAUCUCUCUGAUGGACAGGAUCUGGCCUCUACAGAUAAAGAGGUGACAGCUGAUGUAAGUGAAGGCCAAUGGAGAAGUGACAGAACCUUGAGCAAGAUUUAACAAGCAGCAUGUUACUUCAACCUCAUCAGGUGACAGCUGAUGUACUUGAAGGCCAAUGGAGAAGUGACAGAACCUUGAGCAAGAUUUAACAAGCUGCACUUUACUUCAGCCUCAUCAGUGACAGAUGUACUUGAAGGCCAGCCUAGAGGAAGUGACAGAACCAACCUUGAGCAAGAUGUAACGCAUGUUAAUUCAGCCUCUCCAGUGGUUGGUGUACAAGAAAUGAAACCAAGACGGCCAUAUGACCACAGGGUGUUCCCACAACUGUACUGUCUUCCAGCCCACACCUUCAAGAGUACCACCUUAAGCAUGAACUUUUUUCUACAAUUGAGAAAAUUUUUAAAGUACAGUAAAGUAAUAUAUUUAAGAAUGUAUAAGUAAGCCUCGAGUCAAGCCACAUAGAUUAAGAAAAAGUUGAAUAUAUUAUGUAAUGGUUGGCACUUGUAUUGAGAUUAGGAUGAGUUGGCUCUCAUUAUACAAUAUCUAUACAUAAUCAAAUAAACACUGAAUAAAUU